GACGGCUCUCUGUCUCGCCGGCGCUCUCUCGCUGGUUCGCUCGGUCUCGCGCUCUCUAUCCAUGAGAGCCUCCCUUCCUCCAUGGAUCCAUAGAGGUUGCAAAUGCAGAGCUCGAGGAAGCCAAGCGCAGCAAGGAAACUACUGAGCAAGAUCUUAAAGGAUACGAAGUUGAAUUGGCUAUGAAUGAAGCUACGAUUCAAACGCUAGAGUCAAGGAUUUCUCUGACUCAAGACGAGAUUUCCACAGUCGGAUCGGAUUUGGAUGCUCUUAAGAACCAAAAGGGGUUGAGAUCAACACUCAGAUAAGAAGAAGAUCCCAAACUAGUGAAGGAGGAGGUUACUGAAGGUGCUUUAGGAACACUUGAGGAUAUGCUUGCAGCUUGCUGGUGUAAUAUCUCAGACAACCCAAGUGGAAGAAGAAUGCAGAUCAGAACAGAACAUUCAAAAGCGUCAUUGAAACAUUACAAUUUUAUAAAAGCAUAGUUUUAGUGUUCAUGUUAGUAUUUCCCAGGAAGGCAACAUGAAAAUUACUGAAUUAUCUGGAACUUCUGCAGGUCCAGCAGUCGCUGAUAUCCUUUUCAAAAUCGCAUGAUUUAUUAUUCACUAGUGCAUCAUGGGUA